rnacentral:tRNA from 1 species
AAAAUUUUAAUUUAAAUUAAAAUUUAAUAUUUACACUAUUAAUAUAUAUAUAUAUAUAUAAAUUUUA